rnacentral:rRNA from 1 species
CCUACGGGCGGCAGCAGUGGGGAAUAUUGCACAAUGGGGGAAACCCUGAUGCAGCGACGCCGCGUGAGUGAAGAAGUAUUUCGGUAUGUAAAGCUCUAUCAGCAGGGAAGAAAAUGACGGUACCUGAUUAAGAAGCCCCGGCUAACUACGGGCCAGCAGCCGCGGUAAUACGUAGGGGGCAAGCGUUAUCCGGAUUUACUGGGUGUAAAGGGAGCGUAGACGGCAGCACAAGUCUGGAGUGAAAUGCCGGGGCUUAACCCCGGAACUGCAUUGGAAACUGGGCAGCUUGAGUGCAGGAGAGGUAAGUGGAAUUCCUAGUGUAGCGGUGAAAUGCGUAGAUAUUAGGAGGAACACCAGUGGCGAAGGCGGCUUACUGGACUGUAACUGACGUUGAGGCUCGAAAGCGUGGGGAGCAAACAGGAUUAGAUACCCUAGUAGUC